rnacentral:rRNA from 1 species
UACGAAGGGUGCUAGCGUUGUUCGGAAUCACUGGGCGUAAAGCGCGCGUAGGCGGCUAUUCAAGUCAGGGGUGAAAUCCUGGGGCUCAACCCCAGAACCGCCUCUGAAACUGUAUAGCUUGAGUGUCGGAGGGGAUAGCGGAAUUCCUAAUGUAGAGGUGAAAUUCGUAGAUAUUAGGAGGAACACCGGUGGCGAAGGCGGCUAUCUGGACGACAACUGACGCUGAGGCGCGAAAGCGUGGGGAUCAAACAGG